AUUAUACGGCGAAACUGCGAAUGGCUCAUUAAAUCAGUUAUCGUUUAUUUGAUAGUACCUUACUACUUGGAUACCUGUGGUAAUUCUAGAGCUAAUACAUGCUAAAAAUCCCGACUCACGAAGGGAUGUAUUUAUUAGAUUAAAAACCAAUGCCCUUCGGGGCUUUCUGGUGAUUCAUAAUAACUUCUCGAAUCGCAUGGCCUUGCGCCGGCGAUGGUUCAUUCAAAUUUCUGCCCUAUCAACUUUCGAUGGCAGGGUCUUGGCCUGCCAUGGUUACAACGGGUAACGGAGGGUUAGGGCUCGACCCCGGAGAAGGAGCCUGAGAAACGGCUACUACAUCCAAGGAAGGCAGCAGGCGCGCAAAUUACCCAAUCCCGAUACGGGGAGGUAGUGACAAUAAAUACUGAUACAGGGCUCUUUUGGGUCUUGUAAUUGGAAUGAGUACAAUUUAAAUCCCUUAACGAGGAAGAAUUGGAGGGCAAGUCUGGUGCCAGCAGCGGCGGUAAUUCCAGCUCCAAUAGCGUAUAUUAAAGUUGUUGCAGUUAAAAAGCUCGUAGUUGAACCUUGGGCCUGGCUGGCCGGUCCGCCUCACCGCGUGCACUGGUUCGGCCGGGCCUUUCCCUCUGGGGAGCCUCAUGCCCUUCACUGGGUGUGAUGGGGAACCAGGACUUUUACUGUGAAAAAAUUAGAGUGUUCAAAGCAGGCCUAUGCUCGAAUACAUCAGCAUGGAAUAAUAGAAUAGGACGUGUGGUUCUAUUUUGUUGGUUUCUAGGACCGCCGUAAUGAUUAAUAGGGACAGUCGGGGGCAUCAGUAUUCAAUUGUCAGAGGUGAAAUUCUUGGAUUUAUUGAAGACUAACUACUGCGAAAGCAUUUGCCAAGGAUGUUUUCAUUAAUCAGGAACGAAAGUUAGGGGAUCGAAGACGAUCAGAUACCGUCGUAGUCUUAACCAUAAACUAUGCCGACUAGGGAUCGGACGAUGUUAUUUUUUGACUCGUUCGGCACCUUACGAGAAAUCAAAGUCUUUGGG
rnacentral:rRNA from 1 species